GAGCACAGGGGCCACCGGGUGAUCCCGCCGGAGGAGGCUCUCCAGGAGUACCAGAUCAAGGUUGAGGGUUGCCUGAAGGCUCAGAAGGAGGUGAAAGAAAAAAUAGCUACAUACAAAACAGACACAGAGCAAAGAGUUCAGGAGAUGCUUGACCACAUCGAAAAAGAGAGAAAAAAUGUAGUGGCUGAAUUCAGAGAACUACAACUGUGGUUAGAAGGACAGAGGAAGCUUCUGUUGGCUAGAAUGGAAGAGACGGAGAAGGAGAUUAUGGCAAUAAAGGAGAAGGGUUUGGCCGGACUGUGCUCUCUUGACGAUCUCAUCCAGGAGAUAGAAGAGAAGCAUCAGCAGCCAGCCAGCAAACUCUUACAGGUCAGGCAGGAAGUUGAGAUCAUAG